GAUGAACGCUGGCGGCGUGCCUAAUACAUGCAAGUCGAGCGGACGGGCGCGAAGCUUGCUUUUCUGUUGUUAGCGGAAGGCGGGUGUGUCACGCGUGGAUACCCUCCCUAUAAGACUGGGAUAACUUCGGGAAACCGGCGCUAAUACCGGAUAAUCUUUUGAACCGCAGGGUUCAAAGGUGAAAGACGGUCUUUGUGUCACUUCUAGAUGGAUCUGCGCUGCAUUAGCUAGUUGGUAAGGUAACGGCUUACGAAGGCAACGAUGCCUAUGCGACCUGAGGGGGUGAUCGCCCACACUGGAAGUUAGACACGCUCCAGACUCCUACGGGAGGCAGCAGUAGGGAAUCUGCCGCAAUGGGCGAAAGUCUGACGGAGCAACGCGGCGUGAGAGACGAAGGUCUUGGGAUCGUAAAACUCUGUUAUGAGGGAAGAACAUAUGUGUAAGGAACUGAGCACAUCUUGACGGUACCUAAUCAGAAAGCCACGGCUAACUACGUG
rnacentral:rRNA from 1 species